rnacentral:rRNA from 1 species
GAUCAAGCGCAUAAGGGCUUCUGACGGAUGCCUUGGCGUCGAGAGGCGAUGAAGGACGUGGCACGCUGCGAUAAGAUCCGGGGAGGCGCGAGCACCCUUUGAUCCGGAUAUUUCCGAAUGGGGAAACCCACCUUUACGGUCUGCGAAUGUGAUUAUGGGCUUCGGCGCGUGAUCUGGUUCGUAGGUCGUUCAAAGGUACAAUGACCUGAAUACAUAGGGUUCAUUGAGCGAACGCGGGGAACUGAAACAUCUCAGUACCCGCAGGAAAGGACAUCAACCGAGACUCCCGUAGUAGUGGCGAGCGAACCGGGACCAGGCCAGUGCUGUCGUGACAUAAAGCCGAACGGAAUGGAAAGUCCGGCCAUAGCGGGUGAUAGCCCCGUAGGCGUCAAUUAGCGACAGACUCGAGUAGGGCGGGACACGUGAAAUCCUGUCUGAACAUGGGGGGACCAUCCUCCAAGCCUAAGUACUCCUCGACGACCGAUAGUGAACAAGUACCGUGAGGGAAAGGUGAAAAGCACCCCGACGAGGGGAGUGAAAUAGAACCUGAAAUCGGAAGCCUACAAGCAGUCGGAGCCACCUCGCGUGGUGACGGCGUACCUUUUGUAUAAUGGGUCAGCGACUUCAUGUGCCGUGCAAGCUUAAGCCGUUAGGUGUAGGCGCAGCGAAAGCGAGUCUGAAUAGGGCGAAUUAAGUACGUCGCAUGACGACCCGAAACCAGGUGAUCUAUCCAUGAGCAGGUUGAAGGCUGGGUAACACCAGCUGGAGGACCGAACCCGUGAAUGUUGAAAAAUUCUGGGAUGACUUGUGGAUAGGGGUGAAAGGCCAAUCAAACCUGGACAUAGCUGGUUCUCCGCGAAAUCUAUUUAGGUAGAGCGUCAGGUGUAUUCCUUAGGGGGUAGAGCACUGGAUGGAUGCGGGCGGCGCGAGCUGUACCAAUUCUAACCAAACUCCGAAUACCUAAGAGAACUGCCUGGCAGACACACGGCGGGUGCUAACGUCCGUCGUGAAAAGGGAAACAACCCUAACCAUCAUCUAAGGCCCCCAAGUAACGGCUAAGUGGGAAACGAUGUGGGAUUGCUUUGACAACCAGGAUGUUGGCUUAGAAGCAGCCAUCAUUUAAAGAAAGCGUAACAGCUCACUGGUCAAGCGAUCCUGCGCGGAAAAUGUAACGGGGCUCAAGCCGUUCGCCGAAGGUAUGGGUUUGCACUUCUGUGCAAGCGGUAGCGGAGCGUUCCGUAAGCCUGUGAAGGUCAGUCGUGAGGCUGGCUGGAGGUAUCGGAAGUGAGAAUGCUGACAUGAGUAGCGACAAAGAGUGUGAGAGACACUCUCGCCGAAAGUCCAAGGGUUCCUGCGUAAAGCUAAUCUGCGCAGGGUUAGCCGGCCCCUAAGGCGAGGCCGAAAGGCGUAGUCGAUGGGAACCAGGUGAAUAUUCCUGGGCCAGUUGGAAGUGACGAAUUCCGUAAAUUGUCGGGGCUUAUUGGAUUGCUCCCGGCAGUGAAGGGGUUCCUGGAAAUAACUCCAACGGAGACCGUACCCGAAACCGACACAGGUGGACUGGUAGAGCAUACCAAGGCGCUUGAGAGAACUAUGCUGAAGGAACUCGGCAAAUUGCACGCGUAACUUCGGGAUAAGCGUGACUCACCUUGCGCAAGCAAGACUGAGUGGCACAGGCCAGGGGGUAGCGACUGUUUAUCAAAAACACAGGGCUCUGCGAAGCCGCAAGGCGACGUAUAGGGUCUGACGCCUGCCCGGUGCCGGAAGGUUAAAAGGAGGGGUGCAAGCUCCGAAUUGAAGCCCCGGUAAACGGCGGCCGUAACUAUAACGGUCCUAAGGUAGCGAAAUUCCUUGUCGGGUAAGUUCCGACCUGCACGAAUGGCGUAACGACUUCCCCACUGUCUCCAGCAUAGGCUCAGCGAAAUUGAAUUCCCCGUGAAGAUGCGGGGUUCCCGCGGUCAGACGGAAAGACCCUAUGAACCUUUACUGCAGCUUCGCCUUGGCGUUAGCGUCAACAUGUGUAGGAUAGGUGGGAGGCUAUGAAACCGG